CACGUCGAUUUAGAAGAACCGCCUCUUACCUCAAGUCAAACGUGUCUGCUCAGCACCAUCUUUUUCUGGAAAGUUCUCCCGCGUCUGCCAUAACACUACCAUCCUCUGCAACUUCUCUCUUUCUUUCUCAUUCUCAUAGAAGAGAAGUCUCUCAUAGGAGAGAAGUUGUGGUCGAUGUAAAAUUCGUCUUUCUUUUCCCCUGCUUGCUGACUUGUUUUGGCUUAUUGGGUCAUUGAAAUUGCAGCGUUUCAUUCAAGUUUAAAGUCACUUUGCUUGGUCAAAGGAGUUAUUUUUGUCAACCAUUGACUUGAGAGAAUGGUUCAGAUUAAGGAAUUUCGAAUUGUGAUGCCCUUGUCAUUGGAAGAGUAUCAGGUAGCUCAGAUGUACAUGGUCAUGAAAAUGCAACAGCAAAGCACCACAGGUGAUGAAGGAGUGGAGGUAUUACAAAACAAACCAUUUAGUGAUGAUGGAUUUGGAGAGGGCCAAUACACAUCAAAAGUUUACCACUUGCAGAGCAAAGCACCAUCUUGGUUGACUACAUUUGCACCAGUUGAUGCCCUUGUGAUGCAAGAGGAAGCGUGGAAUGCAUAUCCUAGAUGUAGAUCAGUUGUUAAGUCUCCAUAUUUUUCAAAGUUCUUUAUGAGCAUUGACACCAUCCACAAAGCUGAUAAUGGAUGCUCUGAGAAUGUGCACGGCCUAAGUGAGGACCAACUGGCAGUUAGACAGGUGGAAGUUAUUGAUAUUGCUUCAGCUGCCACUGAUUAUUGGAGUUACAUAGUGGGAAGAAACAAUGUUGAUUUGUCUAAUUUCCACUCAGCAAGAAGCGGCCGUGGACCGCUCUUGGAAGACUGGCAGGACCAUUGUAGUCCCGUUAUGACAGCGUAUAAGCUGGUGACUGUAGAUUCUCCAUACUGGGGCUUUGGGAGCAGAUUGGAACAGGCUUUGAUGGCGGGGGAAAGGUCGCUUUUCCUUGAAAGUCAUCGUAAUUGUUUUGCCUGGAUUGAUGAAUGGUUUGGGCUGACAGUGGAGGUUUUGCGUGAGUUGGAGCAACAAAGUGAUUAUUCAUUGAAUAAGAAACUUGGCUGGCCUUGCUCGACUGAGAGUUGGAUGACACAAGAGGAAGCUCCACUUGAAGGCGAAAAAUCUGUUGCAUGAAUGUGAUGUUAGUAUAUACGGUAAGGCUGCUAGUAUACUUUUCAGAAUCGUAUUCAUGGAAUGGGUCACAAUAGAAGAUUAUUGGUGUACUUUGAGGCUUUACCACUAGUUUGCAGCAAAGAUACAUAUGCUGUCAACUUGUACAUGAAAAGGUGGGGCAGCAGCAAGGUUUUGUUUUCUGCUAAUCCCUUGAUCCAGUUACUCAUCGCGAUUGUGAGGGGGGACACUAUGAUUGGAAAAAGUUAAAUGAUGGAUUGAGUCAGGUUCACUCAUCACAGUCGUGAGACCCAGCUGCGAGAUUGCGAUAACCAACUUAAUGCCAGACAAUGUUGACCCUCGCGAUCGCGAGGUGACCGUGAUCGCGAGAUACUGUUUACCUGAAUAGUAUAAAUUCUCCAUUUUCGUGAUUGUUCACUAUUUAUGGACUUGGGGACCUCAGGAAAGGCAAUUCUAAAGGGGAUUCUUCCUCAAUCUUUCUUAGAUUCCAAUACCAGUGUGAUUUGUGGUGGCCGAUUGGUAUGGUGAGAAAUUGACGUUUUGAGGUACUGGUGAGCUCCAGCGUCCGAGGUAGACUUUAAGACCUCAUCCUAUCCUUUUUGUCUUUAUUUACUUAAAAGACCGACUUAUGCAUUAUUCAGUUGUCAAAUUUGUAUUAGAUGCUCUUCACAAUGACGCCAGGCUUUGGGGGUUCUAUGUAUUUUCUUUCGGAUA